GUGGGGAAUAUUGGACAAUGGGCGAAAGCCUGAUCCAGCCAUGCCGCGUGUGUGAAGAAGGUCUUCGGAUUGUAAAGCACUUUAAGUUGGGAGGAAGGGCAGUAAGUUAAUACCUUGCUGUUUUGACGUUACCGACAGAAUAAGCACCGGCUAACUUCGUGCCAGCAGCCGCGGUAAUACGAAGGGUGCAAGCGUUAAUCGGAAUUACUGGGCGUAAAGCGCGCGUAGGUGGUUUUGUAAGUUGGAGGUGAAAUCCCCGGGCUCAACCUGGGAACUGCCUCCAAAACUGCAUGACUAGAGUACGGUAGAGGGUAGUGGAAUUUCCUGUGUAGCGGUGAGAUGCGUAGAGAUAGGAAGGAAAACCAGUGGCGAAGGCGACUACCUGGACUGAUACUGACACUGAGGUGCGAAAGCGUGGGGAGCAAACAGGAUUAGAAACCCCGGUAGUCC
rnacentral:rRNA from 1 species